UACAGAGGUCCCAAGCGUUGUUCGGAUUCAUUGGGCGUAAAGGGUGCGUAGGCGGUGGGGUAAGUUGGAUGUGAAAUCUUGGGGCUUAACCUCAAAAUUGCAUUCAAUACUGCUCUGCUCGAGUUCUGUAGAGGAGAUUGGAAUUUACGGUGUAGCAGUGAAAUGCGUAGAUAUCGUAAGGAACGCCAGUGGCGAAAGCGAAUCUCUGGGCAGCAACUGGCGCUGAGGCACGAAGGCCAGGGGAGCAAACGGG
rnacentral:rRNA from 1 species